AGAAUCAACGCUGGCGGCGUACCUAACACAUGCAAGUCGAACGAGAAAGUGGAGCAAUCCAUGAGUACAGUGGCGCACGGGUGAGUAACACGUGACUAACCUACCCUUGAGUGGGGAAUAACCUGGAGAAAUCUAGGCUAAUACCGCAUAACACCUACGGGUCAAAGGAGCAAUUCGCUUAAGGAGGGGGUCGCGGCAGAUUAGCUAGUUGGCGGGGUAAUGGCCCACCAAGGCAGUGAUCUGUAUCCGGCCUGAGAGGGCGCACGGACACACUGGAACUGAAACACGGUCCAGACUCCUACGGGAGGCAGCAGUGGAGAAUUUUGCGCAAUGGGGGAAACCCUGACGCAGCAACGCCGCGUGGAGGAUGAAGUCCCUUGGGACGUAAACUCCUUUCGACCGGGAAGAUAAUGACGGUACCGGAAGAAGAAGCCCGGCUAACUUCGCGCCAGCAGCCGC
rnacentral:rRNA from 1 species